GCUCGGAUGAUCCUCGUUGGUACGGGGUACAGGCUUCAAACCUGUGGCCGAUUAGCGUCGGAGUGGUUCGAUUCCACCUUCUGAGCG